UACGUAGGGUGCGAGCGUUGCCCGGAUUUAUUGGGCGUAAAGAGCGUGUAGGCGGCUUUACAGGUCCGUUGUGAAAACUCGAGGCUCAACCUCGAGACGUCGGCGGAAACCAUCUGGCUAGAGUCCGGAAGAGGAGAGUGGAAUUCCUGGUGUAGCGGUGAAAUGCGCAGAUAUCAGGAAGAACACCCGUGGCGAAGGCGGCUCUCUGGGACGGUACUGACGCUGAGACGCGAAAGCGUGGGGAGCGAGCAGG
rnacentral:rRNA from 1 species